rnacentral:rRNA from 1 species
UACGUAGGGGGCAAGCGUUGUCCGGAUUUAUUGGGCGUAAAGAGCGUGUAGGCGGCCACACAGGUCAGCUGUGAAAACUCGAGGCUCAACCUCGAGACGUCGGUUGAAACCGUAUGGCUAGAGUCCGGAAGAGGAGAGUGGAAUUCCCGGUGUAGCGGUGAAAUGCGCAGAUAUCGGGAAGAACACCCGUGGCGAAGGCGGCUCUCUGGGACGGUACUGACGCUGAGGAGCGAAAGCGUGGGGAGCGAACAGG